UGAGGAAUAUUGGUCAAUGGGCGAGAGCCUGAACCAGCCAAGUAGCGUGCAGGAUGACGGCCCUAUGGGUUGUAAACUGCUUUUAUGUGGGGAUAAAGUGCGUGACGUGUCAUGCAUUGCAGGUACCACAUGAAUAAGGACCGGCUAAUUCCGUGCCAGCAGCCGCGGUAAUACGGAAGGUCCGGGCGUUAUCCGGAUUUAUUGGGUUUAAAGGGAGCGUAGGCUGUCUAUUAAGCGUGUUGUGAAAUUUACCGGCUCAACCGGUGGCUUGCAGCGCGAACUGGUCGACUUGAGUAUGCAGGAAGUAGGCGGAAUUCAUGGUGUAGCGGUGAAAUGCUUAGAUAUCAUGACGAACUCCGAAUGCGCAGGCAGCUUACUGUAGCAUAACUGACGCUGAUGCUCGAAAGUGCGGGUAUCAAACAGG
rnacentral:rRNA from 1 species